GACGAACGCUGGCGGCGUGCCUAAUACAUGCAAGUAGAACGCUGAAGGAGGAGCUUGCUCUUCUGGAUGAGUUGCGAACGGGUGAGUAACGCGUAGGUAACCUGCCUGGUAGCGGGGGAUAACUAUUGGAAACGAUAGCUAAUACCGCAUAACAUUGACUAUUGCAUGAUAGUCAAUUGAAAGGUGCAAAUGCACCACUACCAGAUGGACCUGCGUUGUAUUAGCUAGUUGGUGGGGUAACGGCUCACCAAGGCUACGAUACAUAGCCGACCUGAGAGGGUGAUCGGCCACACUGGGACUGAGACACGGCCCAGACUCCUACGGGAGGCAGCAGUAGGGAAUCUUCGGCAAUGGACGGAAGUCUGACCGAGCAACGCCGCGUGAGUGAAGAAGGUUUUCGGAUCGUAAAGCUCUGUUGUAAGAGAAGAACGAGUGUGAGAGGGAAAGUUCAC
rnacentral:rRNA from 1 species